rnacentral:rRNA from 1 species
AGAGUUUGAUCCUGGCUCAGGAUGAACGCCGGCGGCAUGCCUAAUACAUGCAAGUCGAACGAGGAUCCUUCGGGAUCCUAGUGGCGAACGGGUGAGUAACACGUAGGGAACCUGCCCGCGCACCGGGAAUACGCUCUGGAAACGGAGAACAAAUCCCGAUGUACAGGAAGGAGGCAUCUUCUUUCUGUGAAGCAUCCUGUAAGGGAUGGGGCGCGGAUGGACCUGCGGUGCAUUAGUUAGUUGGCGAGGGUAAAGGCCCACCAAGACGAUGAUGCAUAGCCGGCCUGAGAGGGCGGACGGCCACAUUGGGACUGAGACACGGCCCAAACUCCUACGGGAGGCAGCAGUAGGGAAUCUUCCACAAUGGACGCAAGUCUGAUGGAGCAACGCCGCGUGAGUGAAGAAGGGUUUCGGCUCGUAAAGCUCUGUUGGUAGUGAAGAAAGAUAGAGGUAGUAACUGGCCUUUAUUUGACGGUAAUUACCUAGAAAGUCACGGCUAACUACGUGCCAGCAGCCGCGGUAAUACGUAGGUGGCAAGCGUUGUCCGGAUUUAUUGGGCGUAAAGCGAGUGCAGGCGGUUCAAUAAGUCUGAUGUGAAAGCCUUCGGCUCAACCGGAGAAUUGCAUCAGAAACUGUUGAACUUGAGUGCAGAAGAGGAGAGUGGAACUCCAUGUGUAGCGGUGGAAUGC